UCAAAGGCUCUUUUAAGAGCCACCCACUUUUUUCUUUAAAAGAGCU
rfam:Patagioenas fasciata monilis isolate BTP2013 Sc31e1R_53, whole genome shotgun sequence.